rnacentral:rRNA from 1 species
GGCCAGACUCCUACGGGAGGCAGCAGUAAGGGAUAUUGGUCAAUGGGGGAAACCCUGAACCAGCAACGCCGCGUGAGGGAAGACGGUUUUCGGAUUGUAAACCUCUGUCCUCUGUGAAGAUGAUGACGGUAGCAGAGGAGGAAGCUCCGGCUAACUACGUGCCAGCAGCCGCGGUAAUACGUAGGGAGCGGGCGUUGUCCGGAUUUACUGGGUGUAAAGGGUGCGUAGGCGGCUAUGCAAGUCAGUAGUGAAAUCCAUGGGCUUAACCCAUGAACUGCUAUUGAAACUGCACAGCUUGAGUGAAGUAGAGGUAGGCGGAAUUCCCGGUGUAGCGGUGAAAUGCGUAGAGGUCGGGAGGAACACCAGUGGCGAAGGCGGCUUACUGGACGAUGACUGACGCUGAGGCUCGAAAGCGUGGGGAGCAAACAGGAUUAGAUACCCCUGUAC